GGCCACUCGGGGGGACAACACUA
rnacentral:miRNA from 1 species